UUAUGGCCAUAUCACUUUGAAACACCGGUUCCCGUACGAUAAUGACGUUAAGAAACGUUGAGCCUAGUCAGUACCUAAAUGGCUGACCGCUUGGGUAUACCAUGUGCUGUAAG